rnacentral:rRNA from 1 species
UACGUAGGGGGCUAGCGUUGUCCGGAAUCAUUGGGCGUAAAGAGCGUGUAGGCGGUCCGGUAAGUCCGUUGUGAAAGUCAAGGGCUCAACCCUUGAAUGCCGGCGGAUACUGUCGGGCUAGAGUACGGAAGAGGCAAGUGGAAUUCCUGGUGUAGCGGUGGAAUGCGCAGAUAUCAGGAGGAACACCUAUAGCGAAGGCAGCUUGCUGGGACGUUACUGACGCUAAGGCGCGAAAGCGUGGGGAGCGAACAGG